GUAUGUCGAAAGAAUUGUAUUUAAAGCAAUGUGUCAAGACUACCUAUUUUUAAUAAGAUGAACAGGUCAUGAAACAGAUGCAGAAAGACACCAAAAUCCAGCUCAAAAAGUUUUAUUCAGAUUAACAGAUCAGAAACAUUCAGUCACCGUUACAAAUGUCACACAGGAGGCUUAUACGUAGGUGAUAAGGGCAAAGCCAUAACCUGAUAAAUACCCAUCUUUCCACCUGACAUUUAACAGUGAGACCAACAGAACAU